UAGGGAAUCUUCCGCAAUGGACGCAAGUCUGACGGAGCAACGCCGCGUGAGUGAAGAAGGAUUUCGGUUCGUAAAACUCUGUUGUUAGAGAAGAACAGCGCAUAGAGUAACUGUUAUGCGUGUGACGGUAUCUAACCAGAAAGCCACGGCUAACUACGUGCCAGCAGCCGCGGUAAUACGUAGGUGGCAAGCGUUGUCCGGAUUUAUUGGGCGUAAAGCGAGCGCAGGCGGUCAAUUAAGUCUGAUGUGAAAGCCCCCGGCUCAACCGGGGAGGGUCAUUGGAAACUGGUAGACUGAAGUGCAGAAGAGGAGAGUGGAAUUCCAUGUGUAGCGGUGAAAUGCGAAGAUAUAUGGAGGAACACCAGUGGCAAGGGCGACUCUCUGGUCUGUAACUGACGCUGAGGCUGGAAAGCGUGGGUAGCAAACAGG
rnacentral:rRNA from 1 species